ensembl:lncRNA
UAUAACAGUAUUUAUAACAGUAGGUUUGCACCGAAGCACCGCAGCAAUUUCCUAAUGUUGUAAACCCGCUCAACAUUUGGCAAUAAAACCCUUUCUGAUUCUGAUUUCUAUUAAAAACCAACACAUGCAGCUGUCUGUGAGCUCAGUUUUUCCCCUCACACUUCUGCUUUGUUUCAGUGGCAGCAUUUUUUUUCUUUUUGUGUCCUGACUCAUGGAUGUUUUUUCUUUGAUUAUUUUGUUGGUUUGGAAACGAAUUUGUGACCAUACUUGUGGAUCACAGUGACACAUAGUGAUUAGGCAUGUGAUUAGCUGUGAGCUAUGAGCUGUGAGUAAUGCAAAGUUUAUAUAUAUAUAUGUAAAAUCCAACAGUGUGAAGCACAUAGCAGCCAGAAACUGUAAUGCCACAGAUCAGGGAGGCUUCAUCAUCACCAUCUUCAUCGCCGUACGAUCAGAGCGUGAGACUUCACAUCUGGAGCACAGGAGACAUUCUGUGAUAAGUCCUCCUUCUAGCUUGUCCCACAAGCAGUCGAGCUGAGACACUAAGGACUGAACAGACUGCACAGUUUCUGUGACUGAGCCUCCAAAACACCUUCUUUGAAACCACUCAUGAAUGAAGGGCUUUAUAUUUGCAGGAGCACUACUACAGUUGGCAGGAAUGUUGCUGCAGGAAAACAUCCCUGGAGAUCACCAUCAUUGUCAGACUGACUGUGCCUCCUCUGUGCAGUGUCAAGUUCCUCCCUAAAUGAGUGUUCCUCAGCUAUCCUGCUUCUGUGCUGCUUGCCACACAUCAAACACUGGCCGGAUGACAGGGAGGGUCCACUCUGAAGUCACUGGACAUGAUAAGGAUCAUAUGGGACUUUAUAGUUUCACAGAAACGUACUCUUUGAUUACAGGUUUUAAAUGGACAUAAUGACUGCCUCUCUCUGAUCAACAGGCUAAAGGAUUGUUUUCAUUGUUAGUGCUCUGUACAAUGUAUGCUUAUUUAAUAUUUCAUCACAGAGCAAACCUUUAUUUAAGAUAUUUUUAUUUUGUUUUAAUGUUGAAUUAACUGUGGGGAUUUUUUUAAGUGGGCACUCGGGAUGUCAUAUGACCAGAAAUGUGGUAACUGGAAUUCAACAGUAUGGAAGACAAAAUCUGCUAAGAACAAAACGCACACAAAACCCCCCAAGAAAAUUCAAAUUCAUUCCAUGUAAUCCAAUCUAAAACAUUUUAAACUGCUGAACAGCAACACAAACAGUGUUAACAGAAUGAUUAUGAUGAGUUUGUACCAAAGUUUCAGGUCACAUGGCACACCUAGUGUGUCGUGUGGGGUAUCAGCUAGGGCUGAACGAUAUAUCGCAUUUGCGAUAA